rnacentral:rRNA from 1 species
AUUGAACGCUGGCGGCAUGCUUUACACAUGCAAGUCGAACGGUAACAGGUUAAGCUGACGAGUGGCGAACGGGUGAGUAAUGCAUCGGAACGUGCCCGAUCGUGGGGGAUAACGCAGCGAAAGCUGCGCUAAUACCGCAUACGAUCUGAGGAUGAAAGCGGGGGACCGUAAGGCCUCGCGCGAUCGGAGCGGCCGAUGUCAGAUUAGGUAGUUGGUGGGGUAAAGGCUCACCAAGCCGACGAUCUGUAGCUGGUCUGAGAGGACGACCAGCCACACUGGGACUGAGACACGGCCCAGACUCCUACGGGAGGCAGCAGUUGGGAAUUUUGGACAAUGGGCGCAAGCCUGAUCCAGCAAUGCCGCGUGCAGGAAGAAGGCCUUCGGGUCGUAAACUGCUUUUGUACGGAGCGAAAAGGCUCUCUCUAAUACAGGGGGCUCAUGACGGUACCGUAAGAAUAAGCACCGGCUAACUACGUG